rnacentral:tRNA from 1 species
GCCCCAGUAGCUUAGCAGGUAGAGCGUGUGACUGUUAAUCACAAGGUCACCAGUUCGAGUCUGGUCUGGGGCG